rnacentral:rRNA from 1 species
GGCAGCACGGGAGCAAUCCUGGUGGCGAGUGGCGAACGGGUGAGUAAUGUAUCGGAACGUACCUUUCAGUGGGGGAUAACGUAGCGAAAGUUACGCUAAUACCGCAUAUUCUGUGAGCAGGAAAGCAGGGGAUCUUAGGACCUUGCGCUGAUUGAGCGGCCGAUAUCAGAUUAGCUAGUUGGUGAGGUAAAGGCCCACCAAGGCGACGAUCUGUAGCUGGUCUGAGAGGACGACCAGCCACACUGGGACUGAGACACGGCCCAGACUCCUACGGGAGGCAGCAGUGGGGAAUUUUGGACAAUGGGCGCAAGCCUGAUCCAGCAAUGCCGCGUGCAGGAAGAAGGCCUUCGGGUUGUAAACUGCUUUUGUACGGAACGAAACGGUUCGGGUUAAUACCCUGGGCUAAUGACGGUACCGUAAGAAUAAGCACCGGCUAACUACGUGCCAGCAGCCGCGG